rnacentral:rRNA from 1 species
UGAGGAAUAUUGGUCAAUGGGCGAGAGCCUGAACCAGCCAAGUAGCGUGCAGGAUGACGGCCCUAUGGGUUGUAAACUGCUUUUAUAUGGGAAUAAAGUGAGGGACGUGUCCCUUAUUGCAUGUACCAUACGAAUAAGGACCGGCUAAUUCCGUUCCAGCAGCCGCGGUAAUACGGAAGGUCCAGGCGUUAUCCGGAUUUAUUGGGUUUAAAGGGAGCGUAGGCUGUUUGUUAAGCGUGUUGUGAAAUGUAAGAGCUCAACUUUUAGAUUGCAGCGCGAACUGGCAGACUUGAGUGCGCACAACGUAGGCGGAAUUCAUGGUGUAGCGGUGAAAUGCUUAGAUAUCAUGACGAACUCCGAUUGCGAAGGCAGCUUACGGGAGCGCAACUGACGCUAAAGCUCGAAGGUGCGGGUAUCGAACAGG